rnacentral:rRNA from 1 species
GAUGAACGCUGGCGGCGUGCCUAAUACAUGCAAGUCGAGCGAACAGACGAGGAGCUUGCUCCUCUGACGUUAGCGGCGGACGGGUGAGUAACACGUGGAUAACCUACCUAUAAGACUGGGAUAACUUCGGGAAACCGGAGCUAAUCCCGGAUAAUAUAUUGAACCGCAUGGUUAAAUAGUGAAAGACGGUUUUGCUGUCACUUAUAGAUGGAUCCGCGCCGCAUUAGCUAGUUGGUAAGGUAACGGCUUACCAAGGCGACGAUGCGUAGCCGACCUGAGAGGGUGAUCGGCCACACUGGAACUGAGACACGGUCCAGACUCCUACGGGAGGCAGCAGUAGGGAAUCUUCCGCAAUGGGCGAAAGCCUGACGGAGCAACGCCGCGUGAGUGAUGAAGGUCUUCGGAUCGUAAAACUCUGUUAUUAGGGAAGAACAAAUGUGUAAGUAACUAUGCACGUCUUGACGGUACCUAAUCAGAAAGCCACGGCUAACUACGUG